ACUCCUACGGGAGGCAGCAGUGGGGAAUAUUGCACAAUGGGGGAAACCCUGAUGCAGCCAUGCCGCGUGUGUGAAGAAGGCCUUCGGGUUGUAAAGCACUUUCAGUAGGGAGGAAGGUAGUGUAGUUAACACCUGCACUAUUUGACGUUACCUACAGAAGAAGCACCGGCUAACUCCGUGCCAGCAGCCGCGGUAAUACGGAGGGUGCGAGCGUUAAUCGGAAUUACUGGGCGUAAAGCGCAUGCAGGCGGCCUGUUAAGUCAGAUGUGAAAGCCCGGGGCUUAACCUCGGAAUUGCAUUUGAAACUGGCAGGCUAGAGUCUUGUAGAGGGGGGUAGAAUUUCAGGUGUAGCGGUGAAAUGCGUAGAGAUCUGAAGGAAUACCAGUGGCGAAGGCGGCCCCCUGGACAAAGACUGACGCUCAGAUGCGAAA
rnacentral:rRNA from 1 species